AUCCAGUUGACGAGUCCCAAAUAGGACGAAACGCGCGUCCAACUAAAU
rnacentral:hammerhead_ribozyme from 1 species